UCGGGGUGAUGCGGUCUCCCGGCUCAUCCCAAGGCAGAUGCCCAAGCACCGC
rnacentral:ncRNA from 1 species